rnacentral:rRNA from 1 species
UACGUAGGUGGCGAGCGUUUGUCCGGAUUUAUUGGGCGAAAGGGCGCGCAGGUGGUGCGGUAAGACUGCCGUGAAAUCUCCCGGCUCAACUGGGAGGGUGCGGUGGAGACUGCCGGACUGGAGGCACUCAGAGGCCGGUGGAAUUCCCGGUGUAGUGGUGAAAUGCGCAGAUAUCAGGAGGAACACCGGUGGCGAAGGCGGGUCUCUGGGCAGUAACUGACGCUGGAGGAGCGAAAGCGUGGGGAGCAAACAGG